rnacentral:rRNA from 1 species
UACGUAGGGGGCAAGCGUUGUCCGGAUUUAUUGGGCGUAAAGAGCGUGUAGGCGGCCAUGUAGGUCCGUUGUGAAAACUCGAGGCUCAACCUCGAGACGCCGAUGGAAACCAUGUGGCUAGAGUCCGGAAGAGGAGAGUGGAAUUCCUGGUGUAGCGGUGAAAUGCGCAGAUAUCAGGAAGAACACCCGUGGCUAAGGCGGCUCUCUAGUACGGUACUGACGCUGAUGCGCGAAAGCGUGGGGAGCAAACAGG